GUAGAAAUGCCAGAGUUAUUAUGGGAUUGGUUUAGGACCAAUAUACGGUUAUUAAACCUUUCUACU
rnacentral:tRNA from 1 species